rnacentral:lncRNA from 1 species
UUGCUUUUUUUUCUCCAUGUGGCAGAGGGUCUCAUUUUUUGCUCAUCGUCAGCCAACCCUAGCUAACAAGUUGGAAAUGAGAGAGAAAUUAUUUUUGCUGGUUCCAGCCAGAGAUAUGCAAAAAGCUUGUAAUGAAACUGCAAGCCAAGUGAAAACAGAGCAACAAGAUAUUGCAUGUAGUAGAGAGUGGCUCCUGCUUCAAGUAGAAGAAAAAGAAGAGAGGGCAACCUCCUGGAGAGGCAGGAAUGAGCUGGAUCCCUCUUCAUUUGGAAUGAAGUGGCUACACUGA